rnacentral:rRNA from 1 species
GACAGAGGUGCCGAGCGUUAGGCGGAAUCACUGGGCUUAAAGCGUGUGUAGGCGGAUCGUUAAGUGUCUUGUGAAAUCCCCCGGCUCAACCGGGGAACGGCUGGGCAUACUGGCGAUCUUGAGCGGCCUAGGGGCAGAUGGAACAGACGGUGGAGCGGUGAAAUGCGUAGAUAUCGUCUGGAACGCCAAAGGUGAAAACAGUCUGCUGGGGGCCUGCUGACGCUGAGACACGAAAGCCAGGGGAG